rnacentral:misc_RNA from 1 species
UCCUGCUGUUAUCAGGUCUUUUUGAUGAGGAUUCUCAAGAUGAGUUAAUCAUUAAUAGAAACUCAAUUGUAUCAAACUCUGUAUUGGGGAUCUCAGUUGGCUAUUUUCUGGCAGACUUGGCAAUGAUUCUUUGGAAUUUCCCAGCUUUGGGUGGGCUGGAGUAUGUAAGUAAAAAAUUUACAUGCUUGAUCUUUGGCAAAUAUUAUAUUCGCUGUUGUUCGGAGACUUAAAACUAUCUACUCUUUUCCCAGUGAAAAAGAAAAGAGUUGAGAAAUAUGUGCAACAUUGGUUUGAAAUCUGAAUUUCCCAUGAAGUCAAGUUGACUUAAGUAGUCUGAUUUUGUUUCCAGAGAUUCAAAUGGGCUAGUUUAUUAACAAUGUUCAUGUCCUUCAUUUCUUUAAGGUCCUGCACCAUGGACUAUCGAUGUAUUCAAUGUUUCUCUCCCUCAUAAGUGGUCAAGGACAGAUUUACAUACUAAUGGUUCUCUUCUCUGAGGCCACAACUCCUUUUGUAAAUUUAAGAUGGUAAAGUUGCCAUUCACAAGUUUUUGAAUUCCAUUUUAAUUUUUUUUUAUCCGUAUUAAUUUAUUAUGCUAAAUGCAAAUUUAGGUACUUGGAUGUUGCUGGUAAGAAGAGCUCUAAAAUAUACAUCUGCAAUGGAGUUUUAUUGUUCCUAGGGU